AGUCGCUGUUGAAAUACCACCCUUGAAUUAUCUGAUGCCUAACCCGAGUAGGGGACAUUGUGUGGUGGGUAGUUUGACUGGGGCGGUCGCCUCCUAAAGCGUAACGGAGGCGCGCGAAGGUUGGCUCAGAGCGGUCGGAAAUCGCUCGUUGAGUGCAAUGGCAGAAGCCAGCCUGACUGCGAGACUGACAAGUCGAGCAGAGUCGAAAGACGGCCAUAGUGAUCCGGUGGUCCCGCAUGGAAGGGCCAUCGCUCAACGGA
rnacentral:rRNA from 1 species